ensembl:lncRNA
GCAGAAGAAUCGAGCAGACACCUGUCACGCAGCGAUAGCAGAUAUGGAUCAUUAAAAAGAGGACAAAGACAAGAAAGCCAUGUGAGUAUUGUGAUGACUGCAGCUUAAGCGUUUGCUUUCAGGCGGUGAAUUGAAUUAAAAGUGAAUUACAGCAGAGCAGAACAUCACUCUUCCAGUGUGCUUAGAGGAACAGUUCAGCCAGAAAUGAAAAUUAGCUGAAAAUAUGCUCAUCCUCCGGCUAUCCAAGAUCAGGAUGAGUUUGUUUCUUCAUCAGGUUUGUAGAAAUGUAGCACUGCAUCAGUGUCUCAGCAAUGGAUGCUCUGCAGUGAAUGGGUGCCGUCAGAAUGAGAGUCCAAACAGCUGAUAAAAACAUCACAAUAAUCCACAGCACUCCAGUCCAUCAGUUAACAUCUGGAGAAGACAGAAGAUGAAACUAAUCCAGUUUUAAGACGUUUUAACUAAAAUACAUAGAGUCCAUAAUCCAUAAUAACACUUCCUCCAGUGAAAAAGUCACAGGAAAAUAUAGUUUUGGAUUGUUAUUAUAUGUGUUGUUACACACACACACACACACACACACAUAUAUAUAUAUAUAUAUAUAUAUAUAUAUAUAUAUAUAUAUAUAUAUAUAUAUAUAUAAUUUAUUAGCUGAGCAAUGACACAUUUCUCCAAAUCCAUUCCUUUAAGUCUCUCUUACAGAACUGUAUUUGCUGAUAAGGAUGUACUCAUUAGUUUCAUGAUUUUAAACAUUGGUUUGUUUUGUAUAGCAAUGAACAUUUGUCCUUUUUUUUUUUUUAAGAGUGAAGAUGAUCUACUUACUGAAAACAUAGAAAUGACGGAGCUGAGAGCGAGCUACGAGGACUGUCUGCAGGAGGUGCGGACCCUGGAGCUGCAGCAGGAGGCUCUUCUGUUCCAGGUGGACUGUCUUCAGGACGUCCUCGAGGGCACGGAGGAGAUGCUCGCUGAGGCCCAGAGAGACAAUCACAAUCUCACCAUGGAGCUGGAGCGAGAACGAGAGAUGAGGAGGAAGUCGGAGGACAUGCUUGCCUCAUUAAAGCAGGAGCUGGAGAGGUUAAGAGAGGAAAGAAGCAGCGAGCCGCUUCAGUCGAGGCCGGCGGGGCCCGUCUGCCUCCUGGAGGGGACAUCAGUGGACCGAGACGAACAUCCGCUCGCACACAGCGAAGGCACCUCCGUGGAUCCGAGCACGAGCCAGCUGUUACAGCUGAAGACAGCGGUCAGCCAGACCCUGAGUGCGUCAGUGUUGCACAGUCAGAAGCCUGGUGCUCAGGGUGGAGAUGAUUACGACGAAAGCAGCGGCUAUGAAGACGCUCCGUCCGAGUUCUCGCCCAGUCCGUCCACUCCAGACACGCAGCCGGACGGAGCUCUGCUGGACAGCGAGGCUGAAGAGGGAGGAGUUGGGAUGAAUGACUCCGAGUCUGGCCUCUCUAAAAGUUCAGAUUCUUGUGCUCUCUCUUAAAUUAUUCUAGUUCUGUAAAACGAUUAAUCACAUCCGAAAUAAAAGGUUUUGUUUACAUAAUAUAUGUGUGUAUUGUGUAGAUUUAUUAUUUAUAUUCAAAUACACACACAUGUAUUACAUGUAUACAUUUAUAUUCAUAUCAUUUAUAUUACAUAAAUAUAUUUAACAUAUAAACAUAACAUAUUUUUCUGAAAUAUAUACACACACACUUAUUAUGUAAAGAAAAACUUAUUUUAUUUCUCGAUUAAUCGCUUGACAGCACAAAAUUAUUCAUGAAGUGCUGAUGAACCUUGAUUCAUUCACUUUAUCCAAGUUACCUUUACUUAAACAGCCUUUGCACAAAUGUUAAAAUGAAGACUACUUCGUUAUGCUCCUCAGUCAACAAACUCAUUUAGAAAAGAAGCAAUCUGCACUUUGUUUCUGCUGGUCAUUUUUUUAUCGCUGUGUUUGUGUUGGACUUUGUAAUGUUUCUGUUCCCCCUGCUAUUAAACAUGAGCUGUCCAGCAGUUCAGGACACAAGGUGAUACUUUGUAUCAGUAUGUCGGCCAUAUCCAUAAAAAAUGGAAUGUAAUUUUUGAUAUUGCAUUGAAAAUCAAGUUACAGUAACAUCUGUUGAUCAUAUGGACUCUUGUUCAUAUGAAAUAAAUUAAUUUUUUUUUUUUUUUUACUUGUACUAGUUGAUUUAAUACUUUAAAGAGUUAUGUACAAGAAAGGGAUGUUUUUGUUGAUGCUGUAUUUUUUAUAUUGGUGUGUUUUUAUUUACAUUACGUAAUACGGCUGGAUUUAUAAAUCUUAUGCUUUAGAUUCUUAAUUUUGUACAAGUGGUCACCUCAAAGCUUUUAUGAGACAAACUCUAAACCAGAAAAACCCUUAUAUGGCAAAGGUUUUAAAACAUUUUUCUAAUUUUAAAACAAAAUAUGACAAUGAUCAGUUGUGUUGUUAAGAUCACAAUGAUGAACCCUAAAGUAUUUUGUUUUUUGUUUUGUUUUUUCCCACAAGAUUUUGCUUCUCAGGAAAUUUCUAAAACUUACUGAUUCCUUACUAAUAAUGUAACUAUUUAUCCUAAAGUGCUGGUAUUGACUUCCAGACAAUCCGUCACAAGAUGUCUUUACUACUAAGCUCAGUAGUUUUUAUAUUUGAGCUCAUUAGCCUAUGAAAUGCAUAGUUCGUUGAAAUGCUGGAGCUGGUAAAAGAAGACAGUGGGGUUCAUUAAAAAAAUAAAAUAAAUCUGAUUUGUGAAAUGGGACCAAUGUUUGUGUGUUUUAUAUAUAUAUAUAUAUUAAAUAUCUUAUACUCAGAAUGGAUGUCAUUUUUAAAUCUUUACAAAGGUAACACCUGUGUGUUCAACUGAAUAAUAAAAUUAGUUCAGAAGCUUUAUGGAAACAUAAUACUACAAAUAUUAAUUAACUUCUGAUGAACUAUGGUGUACUGUUCCCAUGAUGCUCUAUUUUUAUAAAAAAUGUUUAAAGCAUUGUAUCAAUCUCAAACUUCACACUGCGUGGUAUUGUGUGUUUUCCAGACGUGUAGCUGCAUGUCUGUGUGCUCUCAGCAGUGUGUGAGUACAGCAGCAGGUUGUGUUGAUGUAUUGGGUGAUUCGUGUGCUCUUACACCCACACUUCUACUGCACACACCCUAUUUCUACAGGCCCAGUCGUACUUCAGAGAUUUUUUAUUCAGUUAUAAUAUCUGUUUUUAUUCUUGUUUUAUCAUUCCAACACUGCAACCAAAGUUUAGUUUCAGUUCUCACUCUUUAAAUGUUGUUUCUGUUUAACUGUAGUUUUCCCUAUAAGUUUAGAUUUUAUUUUAGCUUUAGUUGCAAGGAUGCCAAAAUGAACAUUAUUAAUCUCUGCAUGAUCUGAUUGGCUCUUUGAUGUAAUCUGCACCCAGUGAGCUGCAUGCUUCCUCUGGCUCCUUGCCUUGUGUUGGCCGUAAGCUGGUCUCACUGCGGUCUGCUGAUCGCUGGGUUUAUUUUCUUCAACUGUAACUUGUCAGGAUGGCAUCUGUAAUUUAUUGCAUUAAGGAGGGAAGGGCAGAUGAAGCCUUACAAAAAUUUGAGACUUUAUUCUGGGAUGUGCUGGCUAAUGAUUUGAAUCUUUGAUACACUGGCAGUUGACGUCAUUUUGUGGCAGACAUUCAAAUGUAAUGACCACAGAAGCGUUGGCAGAACGGUGCAUCACCUCAUCAAUUUUUUUUUCAAUGCUACUUAAGUGUAUAUAAUGUUUGUAAAUCAAUAUGCAAAAUAAAAUAUUUUUAAUGUUUUAAACUGUUAUCAGUGAUUUUAAAGGAAUAGUUUACUCAAAAAUGAAAAUCAGCUGAACAUGUGCUCAGCCUCAGGCCAUCCAAGAUGCAGAUGAGUUUGAUUCUUCAUCAGAUUUGGAGAAAUGUAGCAUUCCAUCACUUGCUCAGCAUUGGAUCCUCUGCAGUGAAUGGGUGCCGUCAGAAUUAGUUUUUUACAAACGCACAGCUUUUGUCUUCUCCAGAUGUUAACUGAUGGACUGGAGUGAUUGGAUUAUUGUGAUGUUUUUAUCAGCUGUUUGGACUCUCAUUCUGGCGGCACCCAUUCACUGCAGAGGAUCCAUUGCCAUGACUAUGCUGCAAAGAUGGAAGAUUUAACUGUGAAAGGCCCAUCAGCAACUAAACGAAAGGGCACACAAGGCAGGAAAGGUAUGAAUGCUGACAAGGUGGAAACACUCGACAGCUACUGCUCGCGCUGCCAUAUUGUGUGUGUUGCAGUUUCUACCAUCAAUAAUAAUGUGAAUAAAUUGUCUUGUUAAGACACAGUCUUUCAUUUUUGUCAAAAAGUCCAGAAAAGGUUACACAGAUAAGCACCUCAAUAAGGCCACAUGCAAACAGUGCUUCAGACAUAUUUUGCUAUAUUGUAAAUGCA